AUGGCCGGCAACGAGGGUUUCGCCACCAAGCGCGUGCUGGGGCGGUGCACGGCCGAAGAGAUUUCCUCCGAUCCCGCGCAGCAGAAGUCAGCCAUCGACGGGUUCGGCACGCCGGAGCGAUGCGCCACCUUACCUACGGCGGUAACCCGCGAGUAUGCUCUUCUGAAAAGGAAGUCCAAGGAGGCAGAUCAGGAUCAUGAUGAAGAGCAGGAGCAGGAAAAGGAGAUCAAUGAGAUUCUGGCCACGGCAAAACUCCCCAGACGCGCUGAUGUUGUGUCUGUGGCCGCCGCCGAGCCUAUGGUGGUCGACCCCUUCCUGGAGCAGGACAUCGCUAAGGCAACGGUUUCUGAGCCUCAGGCUGACGCAGAGAUUGAGGAGCCUGUUUCUGAGCCUCAGGCUGAGGCAGAGAUUAAGGAGCAUGUUUCUGAGCCUCAGGCUGAUGCGGAGAUUGAGGAGCCUGUUUCUGAGCCUCAGGCUGAGGCAGAGAUUAAGAAGCCUGUUUCUGAGCCUCAGGCUGAGGCGGAGAUUGAGGAGCCUGUUUCUGAGCCUCAGGCUGAGGCAGAGGACCAGGAUGUUUAUGCUGAUGAGGAUGCCGAUUAUGAUUAUCAAGAUGGUUCUGACUAUGACGGUUAUUAUGAUGAGGAUGAGGAUGACUACGAGUCUGAAUAUGAUGAUGAUUAUGACGAUGAUGAUUAUGAUGAUGAUGAUUAUGACUGGGAGUCUGAAUUUGCGAAGCACCGGCCAGUGGUCAGGGAGACGUUGUUAAACUUUCCUGAGGCCGCCAAUCUGGAACCUCAAGAGCUGGACGCCGCGGUAGAGAGGGUCCUGGAGCAGUCCAAGCCCGAGUACAGGGAUGUGGCCGCCCCAGGCAAGGUUCGGCUGUUGAAAAAUGACAUAAGGCUGAUCUUGGCCGAGAAGUGGGAGCCCCACGACAUCCACAAGCUUCUGUCCACACUAAGCCCCGCUGAAAUGAUCAAGAGAAGCGAGGAGCUGGACAAGGAGCUGCCGCCGGGGAACGACAAGGAGGCCGAUGACAGGUUUGCAGAGUUGCAGGCCAAGGUCCGCAAGGAUCUGAUCGAGAAGGGGUAUGCCGAGGUUGACGAAGACUUCUAUGACAACAGGGGCAAAUUUUGGGAGGAGCUGAGGGAAGAGUGGAACAAGAUUGACUUCAGCCGCUUCCGCUUCGCCAGCAGCGAGGACGGGAUCCUCCGUUAUUCCGAAGAACUUGGGGAUUUUAUAUGA
rnacentral:rRNA from 1 species